rnacentral:rRNA from 1 species
GACGAACGCUGGCGGCGUGCUUAACACAUGCAAGUCGAACGGAAAAGCCCCUUUGGGGGUACUAGUGUCGCAAACGUGUGAAUAACACGUGAAUAACCUGCCCUGCACUGCGGUAUAACUUCAGGAUACUGGGUCUAAUACCAGGUAGGAAUCCUUGCGCCAGGGUGGUGGUUGGAAAGCUUCUGCGGUUUGGGAUGGACUCGCGGCUUAUCAGCUUGUUGGUGGGGUAGUGGCUUACCAAGGCUUUGACGGGUAGCCGGCCUGAGAGGGCGACCGGCCACAUUGGGACUGGGAUAAGGGCCAGACUCCUAAGGGGGGCAGCAGUGGGGAAUAUUGCACAAUGGGCGGAAGCCCGAUGCAGCAACGGCGCGUGCGGGAUGACGGCCCUCGGGUUGUAAAACGCCUUCAGCAGGGGAGAAGCUUGUGGUGACGGUACCUGCAGAAGAAGCACCGGCUAACUACGUG